rnacentral:rRNA from 1 species
UACGUAGGGGGCAAGCGUUGUCCGGAUUUAUUGGGCGUAAAGAGCUCGUAGGCGGCUUGUCGCGUCGUUCGUGAAAACCUGGGGCUCAACCCCAGGCUUGCGGGCGAUACGGGCAGGCUAGAGUUCGGUAGGGGAGACUGGAAUUCCUGGUGUAGCGGUGAAAUGCGCAGAUAUCAGGAGGAACACCGGUGGCGAAGGCGGCUCUCUGGGACGGUACUGACGCUGAGACGCGAAAGCGUGGGGAGCGAACAGG